rnacentral:rRNA from 1 species
GACGAACGCUGGCGGCGUGCUUAACACAUGCAAGUCGAGCGAUGAAGCUCCUUCGGGAGUGGAUUAGCGGCGGACGGGUGAGUAACACGUGGGUAACCUGCCUCAUAGAGGGGAAUAACCUUCCGAAAGGAAGAUUAAUACCGCAUAACAUUGCAGUACCGCAUGGUACAGCAAUUAAAGGAGCAAUCCGCUAUGAGAUGGACCCGCGUCGCAUUAGCUAGUUGGUGAGGUAACGGCUCACCAAGGCGACGAUGCGUAGCCGACCUGAGAGGGUGAUCGGCCACAUUGGGACUGAGACACGGCCCAGACUCCUACGGGAGGCAGCAGUGGGGAAUAUUGCACAAUGGGGGAAACCUUGAUGCAGCAACGCCGCGUGAGUGAUGACGGUCUUCGGAUUGUAAAACUCUGUCUUUGGGGACGAUAAUGACGGUACCCAAGGAGGAAGCCACGGCUAACUACGUGCCAGCCGCCGCAGUAAAAC